GAAAUGGAACUAAACCGCCGAUAAUAAUCCACAUCGAUGAUAUCAUCAGAAAGAACGAUAUCCCUUGGACAGACUUGGAUCUUUCCUUGCACGGAAAGCCCUCAACGUCCUCCUUGAUAUAGUGGUCGCUGACUCAGGAAUUCGGAACACAAUUAUCCAGACUGACAAUGCCUAAGCAAGUUUUUAUAUCUGUGGAGAUAUCAGAGGAAAUGGAGGAAAUCGUUGUUCCUAGUGGGCUCACUUGUCACUUCCACUCCGAAUGCCGUUGCGUUUGUAAAAGUUUCAUCUGUUGUAUGUCCCGAUAGCGCCUGCACUCGAUAAUCCUGUGAGUGCGUGAAGAAAAGGAAGACGCUAAGAGAAAAGAUAUCAAUCAGCUGAAGAAAUCGCUGCUCACCAUACCGUUCGAAACUGCAGAAAAGCUAAAGCUAAUCGUCGUCGAACAUUGCGCAUAUUAAGAAAUAUCAACAGCAACUCGGUCGUUAACAUAAUUGAACGGGAAAUCAAUUAGUCAAAUUACAUAUAUACUACUUGGGGAUUCUAAACUGAGAACUUUUCUGGAAGAUGGAAUAUUCAGCUGCUAAAAUUCUUGACAGCUUGUGAAGGACGGCCUGUGGUGCAAAUGUAUUGUUCUGUGAGCCAUAAUCGGGUAACUAGCGUCUCGACAAAUAUUUAUGACGGUAGCUCAUCGCUAUUGCAUCUCGAUGGCAACUGUCUGUUCCAAAAGAAGAUUAUUGUGAACCGGAUGUCGUUUUGUAUGCCCCAUCAACGAUCGUAAAAGUUAGGAAUGACACUGGCUACCAACCAGUAACCGUGAGGACGUUGCUAGAUGCUACAGUAUUUCUUCUUUUGAGCUUGAAUUUCGACAUUACUCCUUGGGAGUAUAGCUUGCGAUAACUUGCGGCAACUCGACACGGACGACAAACUCGGAUUUAGUGAAUAAGCUCUUCAGAACUGCGGAUAUGAGAUGAGAUCUGCUGGGCCAAUAUUUAUCGCAGAUAUUAGGUUGUGACUACAGAGGCCGCUUAUACGAUCGUAGCUUGGCAGCAAGCCAUUGCACAUGACUCAACUCAGCUGAUAGAGAUAUAGUUUCAUCCAGGUGUAGUAGUGUACUGCCGCUAACCGAAAAUCAGGCUAACCUGGAUACGGUAUCCAUAUACAGAUAAGUCUGACUUGCGGUUAGCGGCAGUGUAGGUUUAAAUACAACACUUCUAUUUCAGAACUUUUCCUGAAACGAUAUUUAACGUAACACAAAAUUACUCAGUUAUCAGCAAGUGAUUCUUCUUCGUGCUAUAAAUUGUUCAAAUAAAGAUAU